rnacentral:sRNA from 1 species
GCGACACUAGCUCAGUUGAUGAGCAAACCUAG